rnacentral:rRNA from 1 species
ACGUAGGGUGCGAGCGUUAAUCGGAAUUACUGGGCGUAAAGUGUGCGCAGGCGGCCGAGCAAGUCGAGUGUGAAAGCCCCGGGCUUAACUUGGGAAUUGCGCUCGAAACUACUUGGCUCGAGCAGAGUAGAGGCAGGUGGAAUUCCCGGUGUAGCGGUGGAAUGCGUAGAGAUCGGGAAGAACAUCGGUGGCGAAGGCGGCCUGCUGGGCUCUUGCUGACACUGAGGCGCGACAGCGUGGGGAGCAAACAGGA